GCGCUUUCGCUGGCAGAAGUGUAAAUCAGCCCUAAAUUGUAGUAAAUGUGUGUGGGUAAAAUUUUCUUACGUUGUCCUUCAUGCUGAAAAGGUGUCUUUUGUUAUCCCGGGCUUUGAGACGUCGUCGUUUUCUUUUCUGCCGCUGUGCUUCGGCUCAAAGGACUUCGCUCCUAUCGCUGUAGUGCAAGGCGGCAGAGAAAGCCUUUCAAGCGCCACACAAAGACACACAAGAAAAAGAAACACACACACACACACACACACUCGUGUCCUGGCACAGCUGCUCGCUCAGUGAAAGACCUCAGGUCUCUGGGCUCCUCUUUUGGAAACACAGGCUCCUCAUUAAUCUGCCUUUGUCGGCUGUGUAGCGCUGACUAAUUAAAGCCUCUGUUAACCUUUGUGUUGGCUCGACUUCAACCCUGCUGAUGUUCCACCAACACCAGCUCCUUCUGCUCCUUCUGCUCCAGAACAAUCCUCGCCAAAACAAAGAACCAGCAUUAACUUCAGCAAUUUGAGCAACAGUAGCUCGUCUUUUGGAUCGGAUCACACGGGCCAGCCUUAGCUCCACACGUCCAUCAAUGAGCCUCGGCCACCCAUGACCCUGUCGCUGGUUCACCACUGUUCCUCCCUUGACCACUUUUAGAUAGAUACUGACCACUGCAGACUGGGAACACCCUACAAGAGCUGCAGUUUUGGAGAUGCUCUGAUCCAUUUUUCCUGCUUCUAACACAUCAACUUUGAGGACAAAAUGUUCAUUUGUGGCCUAAUAUAUGUGUGUGUAUAUAUAUAUAUGUAUGUAUAGAGUGAGUGAGAGAGAGAGAGAGAGAGAGAGAGAGAGAUGUAUAUACAUAUGUAUAUGUAUGUAUAUAUGAAUGUACAGAGAAUAUAUAUACAGUGAUAUAUUGCAGUUUAAUUGGGUUUAUCAGUGGGAAAUGGAUAAACUCCUGACCAAUCAGCAUCCAGAAUUCAACAGCGCUCUGGUAUGAAGGCGUAAAACCCAUGGACAGAAUGUAAAAGCUGGCAAAAAGGUUGAUUCUGCUUAAUCCCAGCACAUCAGCGUUGAUUAUUUUCUUCUAACAACACAACAAUGUCCUUAAUAUUCGUAAAAGUACUUGGAACUCUGUCUUAUACAGAAACCCACUUUUAUAGAAACCUCCUGUUUUUAUUGUGUCCAUGUUGAUGAUUGAGGGUCUUUGUCAUGAUCCACAAAAGUAGACACUCAGGACUUUAAGAAUUUGUAGUGUUUCAGAAGGAUUUCUGUUUUUCUCUAAGACUACUAGUUGCAAUAUUUUCAUAGAAAAGUUCCCAAAAAAAAAAAAAAAAAACCAGUUCGUUUUUUCCACACAAAUGUGUCAAGAAACAGACUCUCAGACUCUCAGACUCUCAGGGGCUAGAUGCAAAUGCAGGAAGAGUUUAUUAACAUAAACAGGAGACAGAAAGUGAAAAACAGAACAGUCGCAGAACGUGGGUGCUGGAAAAAGGUGUGGGGACAAUCACAAAAAAAAAGAAGAAGUGCAAAACAAAAAAAACAAAAGUCACAAAAAAGGGAUAGGCAAAAGUAUCGGAACAGAUGAAGACAAGGCUGAAUAGAAGGCGUACCAAAAGGGUGCAGAGUAAAGGUUCUAACAACCCAAAGUCCAGUGAGUGAGAAGGAGGAGAGCUGCUGGUUUCUGGGAGUUGGAGUCUGUGGAAUAUUUUUCCUUUCCUUUCCUUUUCAUCCCGUUAAUGUACUUUACUUUUCCCUUCCUUUUUUACUUUACAUUUCAUUCUAUCUUCCCUUUUCCUUUUCCUUUUCAAUUCAUUUCCUUUCUCUUUUUUUAUUUGUUUCUUGUUCUUUCCUUUCCUUUCCUUUCCUUUCCUUUCCUUUCCUUUCCUUUCCUUUUUCCUUCCCUUUCCUUUCCUUCCCUUCUCUUCUAUUUCAUUUUUUCUUUCCUUUUCCCACUCCUUUUCAAUUUGCUUUUCCCUGUCAUUUCCUUUCCUUUCUUUUUUUCCUGUCCUUUUCCCUUUUUCCUUUCCUCUACUUUCCCUUUCUUUUUUUGUUCUUCAACCAAAUGUAGACCACUAAAAUUUUUGAUUUUGUUAUUUGAUUAUUAUUAUUUUUUUUGGUUUAAAAGUGAUUAGUUUCAGCAUUCGUUAACUAGCACACGUUACUUCAGAUUGAAUUCUCUUGUAAAUAAUCCCACAUGUACUAUGCGCUGCAUGGAAGAAGAAGAAGAAGGAGGAGGAGGAGGAGGAGAAGAAGAAGAAGAAGAAUAGCAGCUUUUUAAAGGAUGUCUUCUGAUUAAAUAUCUGCAUAAAA